GUAACAGAUGAGAUAAGCGCAGAUAAGCUUGCUGUUUUGCUGACGAGUGGCGGACGGGUGAGUAAUGUCUGGGAAACUGCCUGAUGGAGGGGGAUAACUACUGGAAACGGUAGCUAAUACCGCAUAACGUCGCAAGACCAAAGAGGGGGACCUUCGGGCCUCUUGCCAUCGGAUGUGCCCAGAUGGGAUUAGCUAGUAGGUGGGGUAACGGCUCACCUAGGCGACGAUCCCUAGCUGGUCUGAGAGGAUGACCAGCCACACUGGAACUGAGACACGGUCCAGACUCCUACGGGAGGCAGCAGUGGGGAAUUUUGCACAAUGGGCGCAAGCCUGAUGCAGCCAUGCCGCGUGUAUGAAGAAGGCCUUCGGGUUGUAAAGUACUUUCAGCGGGGAGGAAGGGAGUAAAGUUAAUACCUUUGCUCAUUGACGUUACCCGCAGAAGAAGCACCGGCUAACUCCGUGCCAGCAGCCGCGGUAAUACGGAGGGUGCAAGCGUUAAUCGGAAUUACUGGGCGUAAAGCGCACGCAGGCGGUUUGUUAAGUCAGAUGUGAAAUCCCCGGGCUCAACCUGGGAACUGCAUCUGAUACUGGCAAGCUUGAGUCUCGUAGAGGGGGGUAGAAUUCCAGGU
rnacentral:rRNA from 1 species